GCAGGCCUAACACAUGCAAGUCGAACGGCAGCACAGGGUAGCUUGCUAUCCGGGUGGCGAGUGGCGGACGGGUGAGUAACGUGUAGGAAUCUACCUUUUCGUGGGGGAUAACCCGGGGAAACUCGGGCUAAUACCGCAUACGCCCUACGGGGGAAAGCGGGGGACCUUCGGGCCUCGCGCGGUACGAUGAGCCUGCGUCCUAUCAGGUAGUUGGUGAGGUAAUGGCUCACCAAGCCGACGAUGGGUAGCUGGUCUGAGAGGACGACCAGCCACACUGGGACUGAGACACGGCCCAGACUCCUACGGGAGGCAGCAGUGGGGAAUAUUGGACAAUGGGGGAAACCCUGAUCCAGCAAUACCGCGUGUGUGAAGAAGGCCUUCGGGUUGUAAAGCACUUUUAGCAGGAAAGAAAGACUAUGUGCUAAUACCGCAUGGUUUUGACGUUACUUGCAGAAA
rnacentral:rRNA from 1 species